UGGGAGGUGGUGUAACGGUAACACUACUGACUCUGGAUCAGUUAUUCCUGGUUCAAAUCCAGGCCUCCCAG
rnacentral:tRNA from 1 species